rnacentral:lncRNA from 1 species
UAAGAUAUGAAUUGAAUAUUUUUUGGCAUGUAUUGGUCAUACUGUAUAUGAAAAGAAUAAGUUGUCAAAAUCAUUGGAAGAGAUUUCUUCAAUAUGUUAUCAGACAUUUCAGUUUCACGCACACUCUCCACAGUAUCCAGUUCCUCUAAUUCACUCUCGUCGUCAUCACUGUCUACAGUACAUGGUAUUUCCACGCUCUGAAUACUCCUGUCCCUCUUCAUACAUAAAUCAUAAUAACUUACACAGAGAGGAAGUGGCUAAAUUGCAUCGAGUUGCAAUGGACAGUAUUGAUACUAGAAAAUGUUAUAUUACUUAUUUAACGCUAUGGUUUUGAAUACCUUAUCCGGCUUCUUUCCUUUCCUGUUCAACUUGUGAUAAUUGAGAUACUUAUCAAGUUCUGCCGCAUAUAGUAGCUUACUGAUUUCUUUAGGUUGUACUUGUUUCCCCCAUUCAUACAGUAGUCAUCAUAUGUCUUCUGUCUUGUUCUGGGGUUUUUUCCGUUUGCCUCUUGUUCUGUUUUUUUUCCCCCCUUUAUCCUUUGCAUAUUCUGCAAGUGCUCCAGGUAUUCAUGCACCAAGUUUUCCUUUACGAUGAAUUUAUUGUAAUGCAUUCCUGGUCGGUUGCAGAUAUACGAUCAUUGGCAAACUCCACUUUCAAGUUUUUUCUUGGCUGGAAAUCAUCCAGAUAUCUUGUUUCUCCACUGGGUUUCUUGUUAGAGCUAUCAAACACUGGUUUGUAGUGGCAACAGGGAAGACUGUCAUAAUCUUGUUCUGGUCGAGGAACCCUGUCCAUCUUCGGACCAACCCAACUGUGCUAUAAUUGAGAAAUAUGUAUGCAAGCCCCCCUCCAUCAUUAAAAAAACUUACAUCUCCUCUAAAAUAUUUGCUCAGAAAUGUCUACGCUCCGCACACAUUUCAUACCCCCCCUGUAUUAAUAAUGAACGGUCCCUAGAAAUAAUUAUGGUUUAAAUUUGUACUUUCUAAUUCACUUCAUUGUUUUAACUUACAGUAAAAAUGUACUGUAUAUAAGAG